rnacentral:rRNA from 1 species
CUUCCGCCGGCGACCGGCGCACGGGUGAGUAACACGUAUGCAACCUGCCCCUGUCAGGGGGACAACCCGCCGAAAGGCGGGCUAAACCCGCGUACAUGCCACCGGGGCAUCCCGGAGGCAGGAAAGGCUUCGGCCGGACAGGGAUGGGCAUGCGGCGCAUUAGGCAGUAGGCGGGGUAACGACCCACCUAACCGACGAUGCGUAGGGGUUCUGAGAGGAAGGUCCCCCACACUGGUACUGAGACACGGACCAGACUCCUACGGAAGGCAGCAG